UACGUAGGGUGCAAGCGUUGUCCGGAAUUAUUGGGCGUAAAGAGCUCGUAGGCGGUCUGUUGCGUCGGCUGUGAAAACCCGGGGCUCAACUCCGGGCCUGCAGCCGAUACGGGCAGACUAGAGUUCGGCAGGGGAGACUGGAAUUCCUGGUGUAGCGGUGAAAUGCGCAGAUAUCAGGAGGAACACCGGUGGCGAAGGCGGGUCUCUGGGCAGUAACUGACGCUGAGAAGCGAAAGCGUGGGGAGCGAACAGG
rnacentral:rRNA from 1 species